UGGCACACAGGUGUAUCUCAAUAAUAUCUACGAAAAAGUCAAUGCGGGCGUAUCUGUCAAAUGUACGGUUAAAGGGCUAUUUUGCAUUUUUUGGCAGCCGUACACAUUGGAAUUUCGCUAACUCCUCCGAAGGCUUUUGUUCCACCGGCACCACAUUUGCUCAGGCCAAUCUACACCCCAUGGCCAUUAAAAGUUAUUCAAAUCAUGACACUGCACCCCACGGUUUAGGUUCUAGGGGGCGCCAAAGAUAACCCUAAAAUCCACAUAUUUAAAAGUCUUAUAACUUUUUAUUUUUGUCCUCACUGGCCUCCAAGUUUUCUAGGAUGAUGCAAUGUCCAGCCAUCAACAAAUUUGUGAAGGAAUUUUUACUCCCUAAAAGAGUGCCCCCCCAUGGCAGGAGAAAAAGUCAAGUUUUUCCUGCCCAUCGCUCAACGGCUCAAACACAUCGCUCUCUCGGCAAAACCGAAAAGAGGAGAAACUUGCCAUUUGGAUAUAUCCUAGCUGUGUUUGUGCCCUCACUCAUGGUCCAGACUUUUUUCAAAUAGGACAUGUAGUUUGUCUGCAGCGAGCGUUUUGGUAGAAACUGCGCCUCCCAUUCAUUAUAAUGGUAAAUGACCACAGACAAGUGUGCACACCAUCUUUGGACCUUGAGUGUGACGCAAUCGGGAGGGAGAGGCGGUCGUGUUGGGGGCGGCGCGACACAGCUCGGGCCCGCCAGUGCCCCAACGGGGCCCUAGUUAUUAUUAUUUUUCCUCCCCUUUGAACUGGAAAAUGGCCCACUUCCUACUGGCGAAAACUCAUGAAAUUUGGCAGGACGACCGGGCCUGGUGAAAAAUUUGAUAUUCCGAAGUCGCCCAAUCAAGAAAAUGCAAAAUGGCUCCAUAGCGCCCCCUAAGGUGAAAAUUCACACUAUUGACUGUCACCCCUGUACGCUUUGUCAAAAUGACACAAAAAUUGACACACACAUGUAUCUCAAUAAGAUCUACAAAAAAGUCAGUGCGGGCGUAUCUGUCAAAUGUACGGUUAAAGGGUUAUUUCGCAUUUUUUGCCGAUCCGCACACAUUGGAAUUUCGCUAACUCCUCCGAAGGCUUUCGUUCCACCGGCACCACAUUUGCUCAGGCCAAUCUACACCCCAUGGCCAUUAAAAGUUAUUCAAAUCAUGACGCUGCACCCCACGGUUUAGGUUCUAGGGGGCGCCAAAGAUAACCCUAAGAUCCACAUAUUUAAAAGUCUUAUAACUUUUUAUUUUUGCCCUCACUGGCCUCCAAGUUUUCUAGGAUGAUGCAAUGUCCAGCCAUCAACACAUUUGUGAAGGAAUUUUUACUCCCCAAAAGAGCGCCCCCCAUGGCAGGAGAAAAAAGUCCAUUUUUUCUUGUCCCCUAAGGUGAAAAUACACAUUGUUGAGUGUAACACCUGUACGCUUUGGCAAAAUGACACAAAAAUUGACACACACAUGUAUCUCAAUAAGAUCUACGAAAAAGUCAAUGCGCGCGUAUCUGUCAAAUGUACGGUUAAAGGGUUAUUCCGCAUUUUUUGCCGAUCCGCACACAUUGGAAUUUCGCUAACUCCUCCGAAGGCUUUCGUUCCACCGGCACCACAUUUGCUCAGGCCAAUCUACACCCCAUGGCCAUUAAAAGUUAUUCAAAUCAUGACGCUGCACCCCACGGUUUAGGUUCUAGGGGGCGCCAAAGAUAACUGUAAAAUCCACAUAUUUAAAAGUCUUAUAACUUUUUAUUUUUGUCCCCACUGGCCUCCAAGUUUUCUAGGAUGAUGCAAUGUCCAGCCAUCAACACAUUUGUGAAGGAAUUUUUACUCGCCAAAAGAGCGCCCCCCAUGGCAGGAGAAAAAAGUCAAUUUUUUCUUGUCCACUAAGGUGAAAAUACACAUUGUUGAGUGCUACGCCUGUAUGUUUUGUCGUAUUGACACAAAAUUUUACAUACACGUGUAUUUCAAUAAGAUCUUCGAAAAAGUCAAUGGCCACGUAUCUGUAAAAUGUACGGUUAAAGGGUUAUUUCGCAUUUUUUGCAGAUUCGCACACAUUGGAAUUUCGCUAACUCCUCCGAAGGCUUUCGUUCCACCGGCACCACAUUUGCUCAGGCCAAUCUACACCCCAUGGCCAUUAAAAGUUAUUCAAAUCAUGACGCUGCACCCCACGGUUUAGGUUCUAGGGGGCGCCAAAGAUAACCCUAAAAUCCACAUAUUUAAAAGUCUUAUAACUUUUUAUUUUUGUCCUCACUGGCCUCCAUGUUUUCUAGGAUGAUGCAAUGUCCAGCCAUCAACACAUUUGUGAAGGAAUUUUUACUCGCCAAAAGAGCGCCCCCCCAUGGCAGGAGAAUAAAGUCAAGUUUUUCCUGUUCAUCAUUCAAUGGCUCAAACGCACUGCUCUCUCGGCAAAAGCGAAAGGAGGAGCAACUUGCCAUUUGGAUAUAUCUUAGCUGUGUUUGUGCCCUCACUCAUGGUCCAGACUUUUUUCAAAUAGGACAUGGAGUUUUUCUGCAGCGAGCGUUUUGGUAGAAACUGCGCCUCCCGUUCAUUAUAAUGGUAAAUGACCACAAACAAGUGCGCACACCAUCUUUGGACCUUGAGUGUGACGCGAUCGGGUGGGGGAGGCGGUCGCGCUGGGGGCAGCGUGACACGGCUCGGGCCCGCCAGUGCCCCAACGGGGCCCUAGUUAGGGCCCGAGCGUAGCUGCUAAGCAGCUGCGAGAGCCCUAUUAUUCCCCAAGGGGUUUUUCUUUGUUUCUUUUUUCUUUUUCCUCCCCUUUGAACUGGAAAAUGGCCCACUUCCCACUGGCGAAAACUCAUGAAAUUUGGCAGGACGACCGGGCCUGGUGAAAAAUUUGAUAUUCCGAAGUCGCCCAAACAAGAAAAUGCAAAAUGGCUCCAUAGCGCCCCCUAAGGUGAAAAUUCACACUAUUGACUGUCACGCCUGUACGCUUUGUCAAAAUGACACAAAAAUUGACACACACAUGUAUCUCAAUAAGAUCUACAAAAAAGUCAGUGCGGGCGUAUCUGUCAAAUGUACGGUUAAAGGGUUAUUUCGCAUUUUUUGCCGAUCCGCACACAUUGGAAUUUCGCUAACUCCUCCGAAGGCUUUCGUUCCACCGGCACCACAUUUGCUCAGGCCAAUCUACACCCCAUGGCCAUUAAAAGUUAUUCAAAUCAUGACGCUGCACCCCACGGUUUAGGUUCUAGGGGGCGCCAAAGAUAACCCUAAGAUCCACAUAUUUAAAAGUCUUAUAACUUUUUAUUUUUGCCCUCACUGGCCUCCAAGUUUUCUAGGAUGAUGCAAUGUCCAGCCAUCAACACAUUUGUGAAGGAAUUUUUACUCCCCAAAAGAGCGCCCCCCCAUGGCAGGAGAAAAAAGUCCAUUUUUUCUUGUCCCCUAAGGUGAAAAUACACAUUGUUGAGUGUCACGCCUCUACACUUUGUCAAAAUGACACAAAAUUUGGCACACAGGUGUAUCUCAAUAAUAUCUACGAAAAAGUCAAUGCGGGCGUAUCUGUCAAAUGUACGGUUAAAGGGCUAUUUUGCAUUUUUUGGCAGCCGUACACAUUGGAAUUUCGCUAACUCCUCCGAAGGCUUUUGUUCCACCGGCACCACAUUUGCUCAGGCCAAUCUACACCCCAUGGCCAUUAAAAGUUAUUCAAAUCAUGACACUGCACCCCACGGUUUAGGUUCUAGGGGGCGCCAAAGAUAACCCUAAAAUCCACAUAUUUAAAAGUCUUAUAACUUUUUAUUUUUGUCCUCACUGGCCUCCAAGUUUUCUAGGAUGAUGCAAUGUCCAGCCAUCAACAAAUUUGUGAAGGAAUUUUUACUCCCUAAAAGAGUGCCCCCCCAUGGCAGGAGAAAAAGUCAAGUUUUUCCUGCCCAUCGCUCAACGGCUCAAACACAUCGCUCUCUCGGCAAAACCGAAAAGAGGAGAAACUUGCCAUUUGGAUAUAUCCUAGCUGUGUUUGUGCCCUCACUCAUGGUCCAGACUUUUUUCAAAUAGGACAUGUAGUUUGUCUGCAGCGAGCGUUUUGGUAGAAACUGCGCCUCCCAUUCAUUAUAAUGGUAAAUGACCACAGACAAGUGUGCACACCAUCUUUGGACCUUGAGUGUGACGCGAUCGGGAGGGAGAGGCGGUCGUGUUGGGGGCGGCGCGACACAGCUCGGGCCCGCCAGUGCCCCAACGGGGCCCUAGUUAUUAUUAUUUUUCCUCCCCUUUGAACUGGAAAAUGGCCCACUUCCCACUGGCGAAAACUCAUGAAAUUUGGCAGGACGACCGGGCCUGGUGAAAAAUUUGAUAUUCCGAAGUCGCCCAAUCAAGAAAAUGCAAAAUGGCUCCAUAGCGCCCCCUAAGGUGAAAAUUCACACUAUUGACUGUCACGCCUGUACGCUUUGUCAAAAUGACACAAAAAUUGACACACACAUGUAUCUCAAUAAGAUCUACAAAAAAGUCAGUGCGGGCGUAUCUGUCAAAUGUACGGUUAAAGGGUUAUUUCGCAUUUUUUGCCGAUCCGCACACAUUGGAAUUUCGCUAACUCCUCCGAAGGCUUUCGUUCCACCGGCACCACAUUUGCUCAGGCCAAUCUACACCCCAUGGCCAUUAAAAGUUAUUCAAAUCAUGACGCUGCACCCCACGGUUUAGGUUCUAGGGGGCGCCAAAGAUAACCCUAAGAUCCACAUAUUUAAAAGUCUUAUAACUUUUUAUUUUUGCCCUCACUGGCCUCCAAGUUUUCUAGGAUGAUGCAAUGUCCAGCCAUCAACACAUUUGUGAAGGAAUUUUUACUCCCCAAAAGAGCGCCCCCCCAUGGCAGGAGAAAAAAGUCCAUUUUUUCUUGUCCCCUAAGGUGAAAAUACACAUUGUUGAGUAUAACACCUGUACGCUUUGGCAAAAUGACACAAAAAUUGACACACACAUGUAUCUCAAUAAGAUCUACGAAAAAGUCAAUGCGCGCGUAUCUGUCAAAUGUACGGUUAAAGGGUUAUUCCGCAUUUUUUGCCGAUCCGCACACAUUGGAAUUUCGCUAACUCCUCCGAAGGCUUUCGUUCCACCGGCACCACAUUUGCUCAGGCCAAUCUACACCCCAUGGCCAUUAAAAGUUAUUCAAAUCAUGACGCUGCACCCCACGGUUUAGGUUCUAGGGGGCGCCAAAGAUAACUGUAAAAUCCACAUAUUUAAAAGUCUUAUAACUUUUUAUUUUUGUCCCCACUGGCCUCCAAGUUUUCUAGGAUGAUGCAAUGUCCAGCCAUCAACACAUUUGUGAAGGAAUUUUUACUCGCCAAAAGAGCGCCCCCCCAUGGCAGGAGAAAAAAGUCAAUUUUUUCUUGUCCACUAAGGUGAAAAUACACAUUGUUGAGUGCUACGCCUGUAUGUUUUGUCGUAUUGACACAAAAUUUUACAUACACGUGUAUUUCAAUAAGAUCUUCGAAAAAGUCAAUGGCCACGUAUCUGUAAAAUGUACGGUUAAAGGGUUAUUUCGCAUUUUUUGCAGAUUCGCACACAUUGGAAUUUCGCUAACUCCUCCGAAG